UGUCGUAUUGUCUAAUGGGAAAUGACACUUUGUAGACUUGCUGCAAGCUGUUUGUUGCUCCUUCAGUGUGCUUCAUCUGAUGAAGUUUGGUAUGAAAACGAUAUCACUUCAGCUCAAGGUAUAUUAUGCUUCGUUUCAUUGUCUUGAACUAUCCGCAAGACAUCUUUUCAAGACGGCUGGACAUGGGACAUCUGAAACUUUGCAGGGGGGGCUCACGACUCCAGACACUUGAGGGAGGGAAGGAGGUGUUCCUUUUGGGUUGACACGACCGGACAUAACAGUGAGAGAGCUUAUUGAGAGCGAUGGGCAACCCUAAAAGGGCAAGUGACAGCAACACGAUACCACUCUUAAAUAAGCAUGCAGUCUAUCACACGCAAAGUUCAUGCAUUUAGCAUGCAUCUCCCAUAAUUUCUUGCAAGUGGCGAUACAUUUGUACAGAUGUCACCCAUUUGUUCUUGUCAUCCUCUAUUUGGCGAAGAGGGUUUUAGAUUAGUGUGGUAUUAAGUAACUAUGUAUUCCCACUCUCAAGCCAAACCACUCUCCUCUGAGAUGCUGCAGGACGUGUCCAUGUAUAGCUAACAGCACAGCUCUGUUAGGCCGAAAACAAAUAGUCCGCCGUCAUGUGGUAUUAUCGCUGUGGCUACUGCAUUUAUAGCUCCUAAGGCUCUCACAGCUGGCUGCACAGUGCUAUUACUAUCCCACGUAACAUUUAAAAAAAGCUAUAUUUCUGUAUCUAUCUUUUCCAAUCACAUGACAAAGGCUCAUGCUGUAAAUAAAGAGAGCUCA